CUCUCUCUCUCUCUCUCUCAAAAAUAAAGAUUAAAAAAAAACACUUAUGAACUCCUGAAAUAUAAAAGCAGUUUUCAGAAGCAUAUACUAGGGUGAUCAGUGAAGGCUUUGAAGAGUAGAAAUAUGUCACAUUAGGACAAAAUUCUGUAGGGUAAAUGGAAGAGAGCUUCAAGUUCGCUGAAGACAGAGUAGCAAUCUAUAGUUUCUUUCUCGGAAGGAAGAGCUUAUUCCUAUUUUUAAAAGGAAAGUGGUGAGUUUCAUAGAGCUAUGGUAUUUGGAUGUCACUGGAUAUUUUUAAAAAAUGAUGUGACAGUUUUAUUUUUCACGGUUGAUAUUUGCAACAUCAGAGAUGAUAUCGUUUGUAAUUACUUCAACUUAUUAUAAGCAUUUUAGAUUCAGACUAAAAAGUCUGAAUGGAGAGGUCAUUUUCCAAAAUUAUUUUCCAGGUUAUAAGAACAACAAAAAAAAUGUUGAUGACUCUUGUUACAGGGAACUGGUAUUUCAGCAAUAUCCAAUAAUAAAUGUAACAGCUAGUUCUGCAUGAAUGGUUUUCUAAGCGUCACCCAGCUCUGUGAAAAUAGCACGAUGUAAAAUGUAUGUGUGCAUAUGCCUGUGUGAGAAAAAGAGCAUGAGAAAGGUUUCAGCUGACGAAGACAAGGUAGUCUGAGAACAUGUCCCCAGAGCCCAUGAGGUCAAAGCCUAGACUGUGCAGAGAUUAGCCCUCCAGCCACAUGUGGAUAUUUAAAUGUAAGUUACUUAAUAAUUCACUGAAAUUAAAUGCAUAGUUCUUCUCCAACACCAUUGUGUUUCAAGGGCUCCUUACACGUGCCUAGCGACUGCCCCAUCAUACCCUCAGGAGAGAACAUUUUCUCACUGAUGUUACUGGUGUUGGACUCCGGUUAUCUGGAGGAAUGGGUGGAUGGCAUAAAUAUCACUUUUCUCAGAUGGACUUGACCUUGGGUUUAGCAGCAGUACACAUCUACUUUUCUCUGAUGAGGUCUGGAGGGUAUAAUAGAGUCAGUAUCCUGUGUUGCAGACUAGAGGGUGAUUGAUGAACAUCUGAGCAUAUGGUGGGGUUGACAGACUUUAAGGAGAAUGCAACAAACUGAUAUUUGAACUGAUCUGGAAGCUAUAUUUUAGCCAAGAUGUUAAAAAUUGAGUUUUACUUUGGGUCUUAUCUUUCUAGAAUGGUCUAUUUUUGAAUAUAUCCUUUUUCUGUAGAAUCAGAAAAGUCCAAGCAUUAAACUUCAGUACCUGUCCUCUUUAUAUAUGAUGCAAUGCUCACAAUAAAAAUGCAGUAAAGAUCAUUGAUAGAGCCCUCUUAUCUAAGUGUAGAGGCUUUGAUUUGUCACAAAAUCAUUUUCCUUGAUUGAAUUCUGUCUUAGGUUAAAGAUGCUGUGAUGUGUUCCAAUUUGACACAAAUUGUACUCAUUUAUUAUCAGAGAAUUUCUUAAAACUUUCCAUGAGUUAUUAUGAAAAUUAGUUAUUUCUGAAUAUUUAGAAAUGAAGUCUCUCAUUUUGAAAGGCGCAAAUGAAUUUAAUUAAUUGAGCAUAUUAACAGUGAUUAGAAUGAAAACCUUUUACAAGUCAGAUGAAAGCAAAUCCAAGCAGCUUUUAGAUGAAUACAUUUCAGGAAUCAGAAAUAUCAUUUAAAAUAGAAAAUACAGAAUUAAUCCAGAAAUUAGAGACCAGAAAACCUGUUUGACACACUCUCCAGAAAAAUUGCUUUUGGGGAGAUAAAUAUCUAACUGUACCCAAAGGGGGCAUUGUGAUCGAGAGUUAUUAGGGUCAAAACUUUUCUCAAGUGGACAAUAAAUCUUGAGUUUUUCAUUGAGUUAAAAUGCCAAUAAAUAUUUUGCUACAAAAAUGCUAACAACACACUAUCGUCAUAUUUUCAUAUUUUCUUAUAAUGAUUUUCAGGGAAGACUGCUAUUUCCCUUACCAUAGUUUUGAAAGAAAUAAAAUCUAUGGAGAUAUUGGGAUAAGGAAUUCAUCAUGGCCAAUUUGGAUGCACCUUUCUUUGUUCUUUUCUUUCUUUCUAUGUGUCUCCUUUGAGAGAAGGUGACUUUGCUCACGUAUCUGAUUUAACUGUUGACUUUUAGUUGAGAAGAAGCACCUGUUAAUUUUGUAAAAAGAAAAAAACAGUUCUCCACAGGUGGCUCAAUGGCCUCCAGGAGUCCAGAUUGACCCCUGAUGUGCACAAGGACUCCCCUGGGAGGUGUCCCUUGAUUCCCAGGUUGGCUGAAAGAGCAGAGAAAGGUCUGUGAUUUAAAAUUUCACAGUAUAUGAACCAUGCCUAAGAUGUAAUCUUCACUCCUCCGGUGAGAAAAGAUGCCAUGGGCGAGCUGUGCUGUGCUGCACAAGGGUCCACGUUAAUGUGUGUGCGCACGCCUGUGCACCGGGUUAGCAAGGAAAAUGGGAUGGAGCAGAAAUCUCUGUCUCUGUAGGUCUGUUUGUUUGCUUGCUUGUUUCCUUGUUCCUCUUGGGGGGUGAGUUCAGGGAAAGGAUAGCUGUACUCUCUGCAGUCAGCCCUCCCUUGCCAACUUAUGUCAGUCGUACCCACAGACACCAUUUUACCAACAAUACUGAGUUAGUCUAACAUCAGAGAAACAAUUUGGAGCAAUAAACACUGAGAGCUUCUGGUUGCUCCUAAAAUACCCAGAUUGGAGCCAGUGGCCAAGUCCCAAAACCCUGUAGGGACCUGCUGUUCUCUAUAAACCGAGCAUUGCAACCUGGGGAUCAUGCACGUGGUGCAGGGGCACAGCACACAGAAGGGGUUUUGUUGAAUGUCAGGGUCAGGUCUCAUGCACCCCCAUCCCACCUCUUUCCAUCUUUGCUGGCCUCCUAUAACCCACCUUGAUGGCUUCAUUUGGAGUCCUGAGUUUCUUAACCCCAUGCAGUGCAGAGGAAACCAAAAAUAAUUCUGGUUUCCAAUAAUGUGGCAUGUUCUGCUGCCAUGUCCCCAAAGUGGGGGGCCAAUUGUGAUCAUUCUGCUCAAAUGUAACCUUGAAGCCUUAAGUAGAAGGGAAAGGCUCUCCCUGGCGGAACUCUGAGCUCUGUUUAUCAUUGAACAGCCUCAAGAAAGACCCUGAGGAGCCCACGUACAUCAACAGAUAGACCCUGCACUCGAAGCCUUGGCAGCCUUUGGAAGAGGCAAGAUCACAAAACUGUUAACAGAUCUGGAGCAGAAGUAUGUGAAUGGCCAGUCGGAAUGAGCCCAGAAAGUAGGCUGAAAAGCUGCUGCAAUUUUCUUAGAACUUUCCUGCAUCUUGGGAAACCUUUCAAUGCCAGGCACGUUCGGGCAUCUGGUCACCCUACCAGAAGGAAAGAAUAUUUUGUCCCAUGUGAGAAAUCAUGAAAAGGGUGCCCCCAAAAGAAUGUUCUUAGAAAAGACAGGACACCUGAGCCCGGUACAGUCCUCUAGCUCUGCCAGACACCCAGCAUUGCUGAGUGGGCUCAUGAGCAAAGCAACUUUGUGACAGGGCUGGGGACUUGCCCUGAGCUCAGGAACCAGAUUUCCAUGCCUGGUCUGCCCCCUGUCACUCGUUUGUCAGGGGGGAGAACCCAAUGUCUAAGUACCAUUAUGAUGUCUUACUCCAGGGAACCAGAAUUCUGUUGGCAUGCUGGUGACAUCGGGCCACUUCUAGAACAGAAGUAGUGGUUGUCGCUCACUGAAAUAAGCACUGAUUCUGACAGAAGCUGGCAUGAAGCUCUAGGGAUCCUAGGUCUGUGGGUGUCGCCAGCAUUGCACUAUUCCAGGGGGUGCACACUAAGAGAUCCUUCCGGAGGCAGGUCAGCUGAUCUGUUUGAAUCUCUUCCUUUACCAUGAAACAGAACUCAGGCAAUCCAUCCGACACAAAGCAGAUAGUCGCGAAUCAAAGGCAGCUCCUAUGUCUUCUUUAAUAUGGAUCUCCAGGCUAAAAAUUCAGAAUAACGGUAACUCCUUCAAUUUUCUCUACCACUAUAGCUACCAUUACCUGAGCAUCUUAUAAUUGUCAGCAUCCCACCUUUUAAUUGCUGAUGGCCAGAAUGGAAACCACUCUCCACGCCAACUUGACGGAAGCCUAGUGGAAACAGUAGUCACCUAUACUCUGGCUCUCACACUGUCUUCUUGUUGGGUUAUAAAACCCCUCUGACUUCCGAAGCAGGUGACUGUGACAAAAAUAAAUGAAUGGUAAUGCACAUCCGGUUGUCUUCCCUUUACAAACAGCCGCUGUAUGCUUCACACACAACCUGGAUCGCGGUGGGGGUGAGGGUUGGGGGGGGGGCUUAUCUAUUACGAAGCCUGGACGGGAGUUACUCUUCUGUAAUGCUGGUCCCCAUCUCAUCCUCUUACCUUUCUUCCAAGGUUGGUUUACUGAAUUACCCAAACCAGUCACGCUGAUUUAAAAGUACAUUGGUUUGUAUUUUGAUACCUGAAAUAACUUCUUUUUUAUGGUUCACCAUUUACCUUCAUUCUUAUGGAGGUAGCCGUCCUCGGGAAAAUGUGUGUAUGUCAAACUCACAGUUUCCUUUGGGAGCGCUUAUGUCAAAUGGGCUUGCUAAAUUAGUCACAGGUCACGGGUAAUCAUAAAGUAUUAGAUGUAUGUAAUUAGAUUAGAAAGGAGGUCAUCGAGUACAACCCUCAUAUUUGGCAGAGCGAAGAAGUAAGGUCCAAGAGAUGAAGGGCUGAGAGUCAUUUACCGCGUUAGAAAACAAUCUGCACUGGAAGCAAGAACCACUGAUCUCAAUUUCUGUCUCCUAUUGUACAACCUCUUGGUUCAUUCCCUGUCGACUCAGAGGGGAGCUUAAGAGGGGGGGCGGUCACUGGGCCACUGAGUGGUUGCCACUGAAUCCUUGCAGUUGUUUUAAAUCCCGCAUCUUGUUUUAAAUCUGUUUUUAUGUUCUCGGACUGAAGGGGUUGAUGUGAAAUUUUGAGAAGUAAAAGCCACUUGUUUGACAAAAUAAAAAUCCCAGUGAAAUCCCCAGCAAAAUAACCUUGCGUGUGCAUUGGGAUGUGGAACACAAAAGGAAAAUCUAGUCUCCCCAGUCAUUAAAAGUAAUCGAGGGACUUUUUAUUACUGUAGAAAAAGGAGGAAAAAUCUCUACAUCUUUUGGCACCAAAGGCAAAGAAAUACUAGAAUUGGGCCAUUGCCAUUGAAUGGGCAGUGCAGAAAUUUGAGUAGGGUCACACCUGUGCUUUCCUGUGCGGGGACCGGGCAGGCGUGCGUACCUCCAGCUCAGGGACUGGCAAACCAUCAUGUGACUGUCCCAGCCUCUGUCUUGUCUAACUGGCCUCUUGGGUUUCCAAUCCAUGACUCUUCUGGGCGACAGGGGGCAGCCUUAUCAUCGCUUAGCCUCUACCUUUCUCUAAAUAAUCUUAUUAAAUUAGUAUUGUCCAGGAGAAUACACGAUUAUGCCAGCCUAUCUGGACCAUUGAAAUUUUAUCCCCACGAUUUGAAGUAAAAGAAUGGUGCCCUUCAUUCAGUACCUGCGCUUUUUUGUUGUUGUUGUUUUUUAAGUGUAACAUUGAGUGUAUGUAACAAGCUGAAGUCAGUAUGUCACUAACAGAAGACAACUGGACCAUUCCUUGUGAUCACCUUCACGAACGCUCUCUGGAGACUCAAAUGAAAUUUUUCAGCAAAGGAGACACCUUAUCCAACCAGUACCUUAACAUCCCCCCAACUUCUCCUUCUGUAAAUGACAAACUUUACCACCAGCCUCUGCACCAAAGAUCUCUUUCUUGGUAGGAAGCCCUUUUAUGUAGGUACUUUUCAAAAGAUCUCGUGGCUAAUGUCCUUCUAAAGGUUUCUACAUCUGGCUUACGGAAAAUAUCUGUAGGGGGCGCCUGGGUGGCUCAGUUGGUUGAGUGUCCGACUGUUGGUUUUGGCUCAGGUCAUGAUCUCACAAUUCGUGGGUUCACGCCCCUUGUUGGGCUCUGCGCUGACAGGAGCCUGCUUGGGGUUCUCUCUCUCUCUCUUUCUCUCUCUCUCUGACCCACCACCCUCGUGCUCUGCCUCUCUCAAAAAUAAAUAAACAUUAAAAAAGAGAAAAUAUCUGUAUAUUCUUGGAUGGUCAGCUCAUGCCCAAAGUCAUAUUCUUAACUUUGCUUCCCCUGCCACAGCCUAUCUGCUUUUAGACCAUUAUUAUGUCACACAAUUACCAGUAUCUGUGUUGUUCAAAUUCUACUAGACCAAUAUGGAGCCAUCUGAACAGACCUUAUACACAACAGGAGCUUAGCCCCUAGGACCAAGGUCAAUCAGCCAUCAAACUCAGCAGAAGAGAAGAUCAAAAAGAAAAAAAAAAUUACUACUCUCUAAAACUGUCACCUCUGACCCUUGUCUGCAGCACAAAAGAAAAAAGGAGGCUGAUUGAAAAGAGCAAAACCGCCUCAGCUUCUGCUGCAUAUUUACCAUGUUCUUUAUUUCAAACGCAAUAAAAUCCAAUAAAUAAUAGGAGAUAGGUUUAAUGAAUUUCUUAGAGGCGCUUAUAUUUUCCAACCAGCUUACGCUGCGACUGUUUAAUUAUGACAAAACUUGAGUCCAACCCUAUUAGAAAACUCUGAGAAUAAAGCAUGCCUCUCCAUUUUU